rnacentral:ncRNA from 1 species
UGGUACGGAAUGUUUAAAAGAGAAGGGAGUAGAAGCUUCCACGGUCCCGCCGCUGUGAAGACGGAGAACACUCGAUUAUGUCACUGGGGAUUUGAGAUUCCCGGGAAGGCCGAGGGUUUGAUGAGGUCGAAGUCAGAAGAACUGCCACUGAAGAA